UAUUGGACAAUGGGCGCAAGCCUGAUCCAGCAAUACCGCGUGUGUGAAGAAGGCCUUAGGGUUGUAAAGCACUUUCAAUUGGGAGGAAAACCUGCCGGUCAAUACCCGGUAGCUUGACAUUACCUCUAGAAGAAGCACCGGCUAACUCCGUGCCAGCAGCCGCGGUAAUACGGAGGGUGCGAGCGUUAAUCGGAAUUACUGGGCGUAAAGCGUGCGUAGGCGGUUCGUUAAGUCAGAUGUGAAAGCCCUGGGCUCAACCUGGGAACUGCAUUUGAAACUGGCGGACUAGAGUUUAGUAGAGGGGAGUGGAAUUUCAGGUGUAGCGGUGAAAUGCGUAGAUAUCUGAAGGAACACCAGUGGCGAAGGCGACUCCCUGGACUAGAACUGACGCUGAGUACGAAA
rnacentral:rRNA from 1 species